rnacentral:rRNA from 1 species
CGCCUCUUGACUAACAAUAAGAGGUCCAGCCUGCCCAGUGACCAUGUUCAACGGCCGCGGUAUCCUAACCGUGCGAAGGUAGCGUAAUCACUUGUUCUUUAAAUGAGGACUAGUAUGAAUGGCAUCACGAAGAUUAUACUGUCUCCUUUUCCUAAUCAGUGAAACUAAUCUUCCCGUGAAGAAGCGGGAAUAAAAUUAUAAGACGAGAAGACCCUAUGGAGCUUUAAACUAAAUUACACUUGUCCACAAACAAAUUAAUUUCAGAAAAAUACUAAUUAUUCUGGCAUCAUGAUUUUUAGUUUUAGGUUGGGGUGACCGCGGAGAAAAAUAUAUCCUCCGCAUUGAACAAGACAACCUCUUUAGCCAAAAGCUACGUCUUAAAGCAUCAAUAAAUUGACAUUAUUGACCCAAUAUUUUGAUCAACGAACCAAGUUACCCUAGGGAUAACAGCGCAAUCCACUUCAAGAGCUCCUAUCGACAAGUGGGUUUACGACCUCGAUGUUGGAUCAGGGUAUCCCAGUGGUGCAGCCGCUACUAAAGGUUCGUUUGUUCAACGAUUAAAACCCU